ensembl:lncRNA
UUUUUUUUUUUUUUUUUUUUUUUUUAAAUCUUGCAGGGCAUCUAAAGCAGGUGGUUUCAGUGUUUAAAGGAUUUUAACUGGUUUCAGAUCUGAUGUCAGCCGGAAUGUUGCUCGGAUCAUUCUCUGAAUGUUAGCAUUCCAACAUCACUGUCAGUUAUUAGUCCUGGUUUAGAAAAAAAAAAUGUGUUGGGUCUGCUUUUUAUAAUCUCAGUAGUUUUAUUUGUGUUCAUUUCCCCCCUUUAGAGAAUUACUCUUUUAAUUACUUGUCUUAUUGCCCUAAGCAACUGCCAGCUAGGCAGCAAAGGCGCAUUUUGGAGCCCCGUCUUCAUUGGGUGGUCUAACUGGGCAAAGAACAGUCAGGAAUCUGGCAGCCCCCAGAGCCAGAAGAGGUUCACGGUGACUCUGACUCUUCGACUUUCUCAGUAAAGUUUCAGGGCAGAGAUCAUACCUGGAGGGAUUCCACAGGUGGCGAUGAUGGAUACCUUUUGUUUACCUCCUGAAUAGAGGCCGUUUUCUCAGAAUUUCUUCUAGAAGGUUUUUAGGUACCAUUGGAAGUAAAUCUCCUAUUUGAUUUGGUUCUAAUUAGAACUAGCUUUUUCCAAUUGUGUGCACAGAUAAGCUAGAGGGGGAAAAGGAUCUUUAAAAAUAUAUAUAACAGAUAGGUUCUGCCCCCACUCUCCUUGUUGCAAUUUAAUUGGCCUUUUUGCUGCAUCCUUUCCAAAAAAUGCUAUGACCUCCCAUCUAAGAAAAAUGAGGCAAAUAAACUUCUGUUGGUUUUAUCCGCAAAACUCAUUUGAAAGUUGGGAAAGAACCCUACGAGAAUAUGGCUCAGUUUUUAGAGAAAUUCAAAUAUGCCAUAUAUAGAAAAUGUCAUGGUUUCCUUCAGCCUUCCAUGUGGAUCUUGGUUUGUUACAGAGUCAAACUGGGGCCUGGAUUGCAAACCUUCCCCUCAAUAGAGAAGGUAGGUCAUGUGCCCCUCUCUGCAGAUAACAAGUUGGGGUCUGGGGAACUGGGGGAAAAGCAGAAGAGGUUUAAGGGGUGCCUGUAUUGGUUGGGUAUUCAUAACAGUGCCUCUUGUUCUUCCGUAGUCUCUGAAACAAUAUCCCCUGCCUCCACUCCCUUGAUUCAAAAGGCUGCUGGAACUUGCCCGAGAGAGGCCUUUCUGAGCCUCUAAUUCCCAUUUGUUGGGAUGCAGAGAGGAUUCCAGGUAACUGACCUUUUGGCAGCUCCCCCAUCUCACUGAAGACGGCAUGAUACAUGAUGCUUUUGGCCGCUUGGCCAGUAAGUGGCACGUGGAUAUGAUGCAAGGAGUUCAGUGGGCUGCUGCUGCCUCCAGGCCCUUAUUGCAACCCAUUUGCUAAUUAUUACAUCAAAAGCGGGCCGAUGUAGGGGAUGGGUGAGACCUACAGUCUGGGGGAGGAACAAGGAUCAGACUCCGCACGCCCCACCGCACUGCUGGGUUACCCUCUGCAUGUUUGGUCUGCAGGGGCCUUCCUGACAUCCAGGUGUAGUCAGGGAGCAAAUUGAAGGCAGCCUUCCUGGUCAGGCUGGGCCCAAGCUCGUCCUGGGCAUGUGAGUGGCUGGGAACUCUUGGGUGCAGAUGGGCUCAGGCAAUUGGCCUCAUUCUUGGGAUCAUUCCUCCCACUGUGGGGGAACCGCUGGCUACAGAAGAAAGAGGAUCCUGCAUGAUAGGAGAGGGGGCUCGCCUGCCCUCCUUGUAUUUCUUCCUUCCUAAUCCCCACUUCCACCUCAUUUCUCGAAAGCAAACGACCUGCUGAGGGUGAGGAGGGGCCAGGAGCCGGGAGGAGAGGACAUCGCAGGAGAAAGUGGCAGCUCCCCUGCCCUCAUUCCCAGGUGGCACUGGGCAGUGGUCGCGUCAACUGUGCUCUGAGCUGGGG